rnacentral:rRNA from 1 species
AUUGAACGCUGGCGGCAGGCCUAACACAUGCAAGUCGAGCGAGCGGCGGACGGGUGAGUAAUGUCUGGGGAACUGCCCGAUAGAGGGGGAUAACUACUGGAAACGGUGGCUAAUACCGCAUACUAUCGGAUGAACCCAGAUGGGAUUAGCUAGUUGGUGGGGUAAAGGCUCACCUAGGCGACGAUCCCUAGCUGGUCUGAGAGGAUGAUCAGCCACACUGUAACUGAGACACGGCCCAGACUCCUACGGGAGGCAGCAGUGGGGAAUAUUGCACAAUGGGCGCAAGCCUGAUGCAGCCAUGCCGCGUGUAUGAAGAAGGCCUUCGGGUUGUAAAGUACUUUCAGCGGGGAGGCGUUACCCGCAGAAGAAGCACCGGCUAACUCCGUGCCAGCAGCCGCGGUAAUAC